rnacentral:siRNA from 1 species
UCAGAGGGACUACUGACUCUA